AGAGUUUGAUCCUGGCUCAGAAUCAACGCUGGCGGCGCGCCUAACACAUGCAAGUCGAACGAGAAAGUGGAGCAAUCCAUGAGUACAGUGGCGUACGGGUGAGUAACACGUGGGUAAUCUACCUUUUAGUGAGGAAUAACCCUGGGAAACCGGGGCUAAUACCGCAUAAGCCUGAGAAGGGAAAGUCGAAAGACGCUGAAAGAGGAGCCCGCGGCCGAUUAGCUAGUUGGUGAGGUAAGAGCCCACCAAGGCAGAGAUCGGUAGCCGGCCUGAGAGGGCACACGGCCACACUGGCACUGAAACACGGGCCAGACUCCUACGGGAGGCAGCAGUGGGGAAUCUUGCACAAUGGGGGAAACCCUGAUGCAGCGACGCCGCGUGAGCGAUGAAGCCCUUCGGGGUGUAAAGCUCUUUCGUCAGGGAAGAUAGUGACGGUACCUGGAGAAGCAGCUGCGGCUAACUGCGUGCCAGCAGCCGCGGUAAUACGUAGGCAGCAAGCGUUGUUCGGAGUUACUGGGCGUAAAGGGUGUGUAGGCGGUUCUUUAAGUUUGGUGUGAAAUCUCCCGGCUCAACCGGGAGGGUGCGCCGAAUACUGAGGGACUAGAGUGCGGGAGAGGAAAGUGGAAUUCCUGGUGUAGCGGUGAAAUGCGUAGAUAUCAGGAGGAACACCGGUGGUGUAGACGGCUUUCUGGACCGUAACUGACGCUGAGACACGAAAGCGUGGGUAGCAAACAGGAUUAGAUACCCUAGUAGUCC
rnacentral:rRNA from 1 species